UAGGGAAUCUUCCGCAAUGGGCGAAAGCCUGACGGAGCAACGCCGCGUGAGUGAUGAAGGUCUUCGGAUCGUAAAACUCUGUUAUUAGGGAAGAACAAAUGUGUAAGUAACUAUGCACGUCUUGACGGUACCUAAUCAGAAAGCCACGGCUAACUACGUGCCAGCAGCCGCGGUAAUACGUAGGUGGCAAGCGUUAUCCGGAAUUAUUGGGCGUAAAGCGCGCGUAGGCGGUUUUUUAAGUCUGAUGUGAAAGCCCACGGCUCAACCGUGGAGGGUCAUUGGAAACUGGAAAACUUGAGUGCAGACGAGGAAAGUGGAAUUCCAUGUGUAGCGGUGAAAUGCGCAGAGAUAUGGAGGAACACCAGUGGCGAAGGCGACUUUCUGGUCUGUAACUGACGCUGAUGUGCGAAAGCGUGGGGAUCAAACAGG
rnacentral:rRNA from 1 species